AGCGAACGCUGGCGGCAGGCCUAACACAUGCAAGUCGAACGAACCUUUCGGGGUUAGUGGCGGACGGGUGAGUAACCCGUGGGAACGUGCCUUUAGGUUCGGAAUAACUCAGGGAAACUUGUGCUAAUACCGAAUGUGCCCUUCGGGGGAAAGAUUUAUCGCCUUUAGAGCGGCCCGCGUCUGAUUAGCUAGUUGGUUGAGGUAUUGACUCACCAAGGCGACGAUCAGUAGCUGGUCUGAGAGGAUGAUCCGCCACAUUGGGACUGAGACACGGCCCAAACUCCUACGGGAGGCAGCAGUGGGGAAUCUUGCGCAAUGGGCGAAAGCCUGACGCAGCCAUGCCGCGUGAAUGAUGAAGGUCUUAGGAUUGUAAAAUUCUUUCACCGGGGACGAUAAUGACGGUACCCGGAGAAGAAGCCCCGGCUAACUUCGUG
rnacentral:rRNA from 1 species